UAACCAUGAUUUCCUAACUUCACUCCUCCUAAAACCUAUCUAAUUGAUUUUCAUAAACCAUAUCUCCUAACUCCCCUCCUCCAAACCCUCACCAAUAUAUUUUAAUCCUUUCUCCUAAAGCGAAAUCUCUUUUUAAAACCAUACCUUUCUCUUAAACCGAAAUUUCUACCUAUCUAAUUGAUUUCCAUAAACCAUAUUUCCUAACUCCCCUCCUCCAAACCCUCACCAAUAUAUUUUAAUCCUUUCUCCUAAACCGAAAUCUCUUUUUAAAACCAUACCUUUCUCUUAAACCGAAAUUUCUUAAUCAACAUGGCUUCCAUACCUUUCAAUCCCUUUCAAUCUUUUGUAGGUCCGUUGGUGAAAAACCCUCUUUCCGAUCUUAACAAAGCAAUCAACAAGCUGAGACUGAAAUACA
rnacentral:lncRNA from 1 species